CAGCAGUGGGGAAUAUUGCACAAUGGGGGAAACCCUGAUGCAGCCAUGCCGCGUGUGUGAAGAAGGCCUUCGGGUUGUAAAGCACUUUCAGUAGGGAGGAAGGUAGUGUAGUUAACACCUGCAUUAUUUGACGUUACCUACAGAAGAAGCACCGGCUAACUCCGUGCCAGCAGCCGCGGUAAUACGGAGGGUGCGAGCGUUAAUCGGAAUUACUGGGCGUAAAGCGCGUGCAGGCGGCCUGUUAAGUCAGAUGUGAAAGCCCGGGGCUUAACCUCGGAAUUGCAUUUGAAACUGGCAGGCUAGAGUCUUGUAGAGGGGGUAGAAUUUCAGGUGUAGCGGUGAAAUGCGUAGAGAUCUGAAGGAAUACCAGUGGCGAAGGCGGCCCCCUGGACAAAGACUGACGCUCAGAUGCGAAAGCGUGGGGAGCAAACAGGAUUAGAUACCCUGGUAG
rnacentral:rRNA from 1 species